AGGGUGGUAGUAUUUUAGAGUAUGCAUAGUUUCGGCCUAUGUGGUGAACGUCUGUUCUCAUCCUU
rnacentral:tRNA from 2 species